rnacentral:lncRNA from 1 species
UCAAAUUCAAUAACAAUUCUCACAAAAACACAAGUGAACUCCUUUUCUUCUCACACUUUUUAUUCGAAGAACACAAAACAUAUUCCAAGGUUUACCUGAGGAGAGGGCAGCGGCCGGAGUUGGUGCGGCGCAGUGGUGGGCUGGAGUUGGAUUCUGGAGAGGGCCGACUGUCGAGUGUCGAGAGGGAUUUGGGGUGGGGGAGGGACCGAGAAGGAUUUCGGGUGGGGGAAGGUCCGAGACUGGAGGUGGACGGCCGGACCGGUGGGAAAGCGGCUCAAUCAUAGCAGAUGGGGGAAGAGAGGACUCCGAUCUGGAGAGGUGGAGAGGUCAGAGCGGCGGCGCGCUGGGGGUUGGGCCGAAAUGGAAGAGAGGACUCCGAUCUGGAGAGGUGGAGAGGUUAGAGCGGCGGAUCUGGGCGGAGAUGGCAGAUGGGACCUGGGCGCCCAAGUGCGCGGAUCGAGGAGGGGCUCGGCGCGGCGCAGAUGGCAGAAAUUUAGAGCUCAUAGACUGGGAACUGUGCGCGGCGCGGGGGAGCGGCACGGCACGGCACGGCGCAGAAGGCGACACUCAGAUUGAAGAAGGGAAGGAAUAGGAUUAAGGCGGAGCUGUUGUUGUAGAGGAGAGGAAGGCGACGCUCAGAUUGAAGACGGCACUGCGACGCUUCGAUUGUAGAGGA